GGGGGGGCAAGCGUUGUUCGGAUUUACUGGGCGUAAAGAGCUCGUAGGCGGCCUGUUUAGUCGGACGUGAAAUCCCUCGGCUCAACUGAGGAACUGCGUCCGAUACUGGCAGGCUUGAAUCCGGGAGAGGGAUGCGGAAUUCCAGGUGUAGCGGUGAAAUGCGUAGAUAUCUGGAGGAACACCGGUGGCGAAGGCGGCAUCCUGGACCGGUAUUGACGCUGAGGAGCGAAAGCCAGGGUAGCAAACGGGGGAUUAGAUACCCCGGUAGUCCUGGCCCUAAACGAUGAAUGCUUGGUGUAGCGGGUAUCGAUCCCCUGCUGUGCCGAAGCUAACGCAUUAAGCAUUCCGCCUGGGAGUACGGUCGCAAGGCUG
rnacentral:rRNA from 1 species